rnacentral:lncRNA from 1 species
CCGCCUUCAUCUACGCCGAGUCCCUCGGCGGCGCGAUCGCCCUACUCAUCACGCUCCGACAAGGGAGUGGCGCGUGGAAUGGCCUCAUCCUCAACGGCGCCAUGUGCGGGAUCAGCGCCAAGAUCAAGCCGCCGUGGCCGCUUGAGCACCUGCUCUUCCUCGUCGCGGCGGUGAUCCCGACGUGGCGCGUGGUUCCUACGCGGGGGUCGCUGCCGGACCUGUCGUUCAAGGUGGAGUGGAAGCGGAGGCUGGCGCUGGCGAGCCCGAGGAGGACGGUGGCGAGGCCGCGGGCGGCGACGGCGCUUGAGCUGCUGAGGGUGUGCAAGG